rnacentral:rRNA from 1 species
AACGAACGCUGGCGGCAUGCCUAACACAUGCAAGUCGAACGAGACCUUCGGGUCUAGUGGCGCACGGGUGCGUAACGCGUGGGAACCUGCCCUUAGGUUCGGAAUAACUCCCCGAAAGGGGUGCUAAUACCGGAUAAUGUCUUCGGACCAAAGAUUUAUCGCCUUUGGAUGGGCCCGCGUUGGAUUCGCUAGUUGGUAGGGUAAAAGCCUACCAAGGCGACGAUCCAUAGCUGGUCUGAGAGGAUGAUCAGCCACACUGGGACUGAGACACGGCCCAGACUCCUACGGGAGGGAGCAGUGGGGAAUAUUAGACGAGGGGCGAAAGCCUGAUCCAGCAAUGCCGCGUGAGAGAUGAAGGCCUUAGGGUUGUAAAGCUCUUUUACCCGGGAUGAUAAUGACAGUACCGGGAGAAUAAGCUCCGGCUAACUCCGUG